CCUACGGGGGGCUGCAGUGGGGAAUAUUGGGCAAUGGACGCAAGCCUGACCCAGCAACGCCGCGUGAAGGAAGAAGGCUUUCGGGUUUGAAACUUCUUUUGACACGGAGGAGUAGAAGACGGUACCUGUCGAAUAAGCCACGGCUAACUACGUGCCAGCGGCCGCGGCAAUACGUCGGUGGCAAGCGUUGUCCGGAUUUACUGGGUGUAAAGGGCGUGUAGCCGGGUUGACAAGUCAGAUGUGAAAUCCUGCGGCUUAACCGCAGAACUGCAUUUGAAACUGUUGAUCUUGAGUGCUGGAGAGGCAGACGGAAUGCCUAGUGUAGCGGUGAAAUGCGUAGAUAUUAGGAGGAACACCAGUGGCGAAGGCGGUCUGCUGGACAGCAACUGACGGUGAGGCGCGAAAGCGUGGGGAGCAAACAGGAUUAGAUACCCGUGUAGUC
rnacentral:rRNA from 1 species